AAUGCACAUUUUAGACAUCAAGAUGAUUCUCUAUACGACCAUAUCGCUGAUUAUCUUUACUGGAAACACUUUUGCAGAAACAACGCCAGGAAAGGACUGCGCAUCUGCUGUUACAUUUUAUGGUGAAACAGCUAAUAAAGUCGUUGGGUUACUCUCUGACAACUGUGCAUUCAAAACA